rnacentral:lncRNA from 1 species
GUGAUUCACAGUGACAGCAUACUGCUGUUACGGACACCUCGAAGAGAGAGGUCUGAUGCAUUCGCACUCUGAUGAGCCAUAAGGGGAUACUGUGGCAGAUGAUGGCACAUCUCCCCAGAAGCCUUUGGCCUGAAUUUAGCGGGAUACGCCAAGUCUCAAGGUCUGUAUCUUCUGUGUUCUCAAUUCUCAAACUGAAGAGUUUGAUCAAACUCUCACUGGAAUCUAAAGCAUAUGGAAUAAUGCCUGAAGAUGGAGCUGUUUACAAACUUCUGCGGGAUAAAAGGGAACCUAUUUGCAACACAGACUUCAUAGAAACAAGCAUUGUAGUUACUUUUAUCAGAGUUUGCCCUUCCAGAUUAAUGGUGUUGAACUUCUCAUGCUGACCAGAGGGAGCCCAGGAAGAGAUGAAAAGCACACAAUCUACAGAGCAAUAGAGCCUCUCCCACAUGUUCUUGUACAACUUAUAAAAUAUAGGUAUGAUUACUGCCCUUUAUUCAAAGAAACUUAACAGUUGCCUCAUUUCUUUUGGGAACACCACUCUUCCCAAAAGGCCCUAGGAUAAAGUGGAGUCAUGGCUGUCUACUUAUCUCCAAAAUGGCCUUAAGAGACAAAUAUUUUGUAAUAAAAACCAUCUGAAAUUAGCUAUAAAUAAUAAGAUCCAGCAAAAGCUGUCUAUACUCUCAUGCACUGGUAUUCUGAUAAUGUAGAAGUAAAUGAGAAAUUCGUAAGUGAUAUAAGUGGGCUAUAGCUCCAGGUAGUCAACUUCCACUUGCAAUGAAACUGCAAAAGGAAAAGAAACUAAUGAUAAGUUAGUGCUGUGCUCCUGGCAGGUACUACAGCUGAGAUAAUGUCAUUAUGGGUGUUCUGUUUCACUUGAGGUCAGCUUUUUUAAUUUAUAGAUGUCUUACAUCAAAAUGAGAAAUAAUGGUUUUGCCACUGGCUUUUGUUUUCAUAGUUAACCACCUCAAGGUACAUUUACCUUCACCUUUCUAUCCAUAUAUAACUCUCUGGAUCCAGAGAGUUUAUUUUUUAUGAUUAUUUUACCUAAUUUAAAAGGUGAUGAACUAUUAGGAAUGUUUUCAAAAAGUGUUGUAAAAGUAGUGCUGUCAGUGCCAUGUUAUUGCAUGCUAAAUUUUAACAUGAUGUCAGUGAUUGCAGAAACAUCUGAAACACAACUGAAGAGGUGGCUUGGGACACUUACUUUCAUUUUACGGACAACACUCAGAAAUAAUCUUUCAGCUUAUUCUACAGUUACUCCCAAGCAGAACAGAAAUUUUUGUACCUAAGCUCCAUGUCUGUAAAAACUGAACAAGAUAGCCAUGAUCCUAAUACUUCUAAAAUGCUUUUGAGACCAAACAUUGCAUAUGGGAUGAAAAGGAAUGUAACCCUUAUUAUUGCUGCAGAGUCCAGUUUCUUGAUUUUCUGACAGAUUAUUAUAAUCAUUAAUGAUCUAAGUAACUCAUUUUGUUAGAAGUUAUAGAGGAUAACUCCCCAAAAUGAUCAGGUCUUCAUCUCUUUUCUCUAUUUUAUAAAUUCAUUUACUCACUCAUUUGUAUCAGCAUAGAUUACAGCAAACACAGCUUACAAGAACACUCUAACGGGGCAGAAUUUUCUAUCCUUUUCUCUCAUGGGCCACUGAAGAAUCAGCUUUUCAGUCAUAACAGAUUGAAACUGCACGCCUAUGAGCCCAGAAGACCUUUGAAACCAUAUGAAUUAAGAAUCCAAAGCACAACUGAAGAAGAAAUGAACUUAAAUCAAGGCACCUAAAUGACCUGGACGUUUCUAAAACCUUUAUGCAAACCUUUAUACAUAUAUACAACCAGUCAGUUGCUAAGAAUCUCUGCAAGAAUACCAUGCAAUAGAAAGGUUUUUCAUUUUUUUUUUCCAUUUUCUUUUUCCCCUCACUCAAAACCAAAUAAAAAACCCAUUCACUUAAGAAGCGAUUGUCUGUAGACCUUUGAAGCCAAGGCGGGUGACAGCAAGGGCAAGAGGCUUAUUUCAAGGGUCACAUUUCAUUUGCAUAAGCAAGUAACCAUAGGGCACUGUGGAAUGUCUGUAAAUGGAUUUCAUUACAGAAAUUCAGCUUAAAGGGACUAUAAAUAAUCCUCUGACAAACAUUGUAUAUUGCUUCAAGUUCUUCUGUAAUAAAAAUAUUUUAGUAACACAACAAUCCGUGAAAGCAGGAAAUGAAACAGGAGGAGCUGCUCAUCUUCUCCUUUUCUCUCUCAGGGCAACAUUAUAUUGUAAUAUGUUUUAGAGAAGAAAAAUGUGAUAUUCAUAUUAUUUUAGCAAAGUAAUCCUACAAAAACAGACUUAUAUCAUUCCAUAUGGCUGAGACAGGGUGGCUGAACAAAUACUCAGAUCUUUACUAGCUCUUCUCCCCUGGAGAUCAUCUGUUCAGCAUGGACAGGUGUGCAGGCUGCGUGGUAUUCUGCCCAAAGGAACAUCUCAAAAUACAUAUUGGUGUGUAAAUCUUACUGAAUGUAUUUCAGUGCAGAAGCUAUCUAAAUUAUGUGUUUUACUGGAUUGACAUUUUUUGAUGAUAUGAAGAAAAUAUGAAUGUCUAAAGGCCCCUUUUUGGACAAAGCAUUUAAGCAACUUGCUAACUGAAGUGCACACUUAACUCUUGAUUAUUUCUGCAGGACAUGGCUCUAUGGUCAAAAGCUUACCUAAAUGUGGAGGGAUGUUCUCACAUACAGUUAAGUGCAUGUUAAUGCAUGCUGGAUGUUUUCACAUGUCCCUUCCCAGCACAGUCAAGAGUUCAUAGCUAGAUGGAUCUAGGUGGACAUCAGACCCCCUGUUCAACAUCAUGUGCUGAUGGUCUGAGAGGCCCAGGAAGUCACUGGAGCUUUUGCAUUUUUCCUGUGUGUAGAAACAAAUCCUUAGCAUCCCCUUAAAAAUACGUGGCUUGCCAGCUUUGAAGGGAAACUUUGGGCUAUCAUCUCAUCACUACUACAUCUCUCUUGGAAUACUACCUGGAAGGACAUAGACAGUGGCCAAAGCUCUGUUCUGUGCAGGCAGUCACUUCUGGGAGAGAGUUUUGGCCAUGCCCCCAGUCUAUUACAAAAGGUCUCAACAAGCAGUCUCUUUCUACCAUUUCUAAUAAUAUACUUGCAAGGAAAAGAAAAAUAUGGGAUACUUCUUCUAAAGGAAAGAAAAAGUGGGCCCUCACAGCAGUAAUUUAGUCAAUUAAUUUUCAUUUAUGCUAGUUUUUCUUUCCUCCCGUUUACCUUUCUAAUAACUACAAUUAUUCUCACACUGGCAUUACUGUUAUCUCUGGAAUAGAUUUGCUCACACUGAAAAAAUCCAAUUGAGUCAGAGCAUGUAACGAGAAAAUGUAAUCCAUCAUUAUUAAAAAAGACAGCUUACCUUUAUCUGGGUGUUAAAUAGUACAAAUCCAUGAGAGUCAGUGAAUGUUUUGAAGUAAAAACGAAGGGCAUUAUGAAGGCUGAAGUGGAUUUGUCACCGAAUUAUAUGUAUUACCUCAGAAAUGGCCUGCUAUAGGGUUGUAGAAAUAACAUGUUUAGGGGUGGAAAAGAGAAAAUAAUGGUAUUUGCUUGUUUUCUAUAUUUCCAGAGAAACUAAAUGAGCUCUUAAACAUCAGGUUAUUUUGUAGAAAAUUGCAAGAUGAGAAGAAAGGUUGUUCCUGAAAAUAAAUCAUAUUUGUUUCACUCUUCAUACCUGAAUGGUGUUUCUGACAAUAUGCACAUCAG